GAUCAUUAUCGAGUUUUGAACGGGUUGUAGCUGGCCUCUCACGAGGCAUGUGCACGCCUGGCUCAUCCACUCUUAACCUCUGUGCACUUUAUGUAAGAGAAAAAAAUGGUGGAAGCUUCCAGGAUCUCGCGAGAGGUCUUUGGUUGAACAAGCCGUUUUUCUUUCUUAUGUUUUACUACAAACGCUUCAGUUAUAGAAUGUCAACUGUGUAUAACACAUUUAUAUACAACUUUCAGCAACGGAUCUCUUGGCUCUCGCAUCGAUGAAGAACGCAGCGAAAUGCGAUAAGUAAUGUGAAUUGCAGAAUUCAGUGAAUCAUCGAAUCUUUGAACGCACCUUGCACUCCUUGGUAUUCCGAGGAGUAUGCCUGUUUGAGUCUCAUGGUAUUCUCAACCCCUAAAUUUUUGUAAUGAAGGUUUAGCGGGCUUGGACUUGGAGGUUGUGUCGGCCCUUGUCGGUCGACUCCUCUGAAAUGCAUUAGCGUGAAUCUUACGGAUCGCCUUCAGUGUGAUAAUUAUCUGCGCUGUGGUGUU
rnacentral:rRNA from 1 species